UGGGGAAUUUUGACAAUGGGGAAACCCUGAUCCAGCCAUCCCGCGUGUGCGAUGAAGGCCUUCGGGUUGUAAAGCACUUUUUGGCAGGAAAGAAACGUCGCGGGGUUAAUACCCCGCGAAACUGACGGUACCUGCAGAAUAAGCACCGGCUAACUACGUGCCAAGCAGCCGCGGUAAUACGUAGGGUGCAAGCGUUAAUCGGAAUUACUGGGCGUAAAGCGUGCGCAGGCGGUUCGGAAAGAAAGAUGUGAAAUCCCAGAGCUUAACUUUGGAACUGCAUUUUUAACUACCCGGGCUAGAGUGUGUCAGAGGGAGGUGGAAUUCCGCGUGUAGCAGUGAAAUGCGUAGAUAUGCGGGGGAACACCGAUGGCGAAAGGCAGCCUCCUGGGAUAACACUGACGCUCAUGCACGAAAAGCGUGGGGAGCAAACAGGAUUAGAUACCCUGGUAGUCCACGCCCUAAAC
rnacentral:rRNA from 1 species